GACGAACGCUGGCGGCGUGCUUAACACAUGCCAGUCGAACGGAAAGGCCCUGCUUUUGUGGGGUGCUCGAGUGGCGAACGGGUGAGUAACACGUGAGUAACCUGCCCUUGACUUUGGGAUAACUUCAGGAAACUGGGGCUAAUACCGGAUAGGAGCUCCUGCUCCAUGGUGGGGGUUGGAAAGUUUCGGCGGUUGGGGAUGGACUCGCGGCUUAUCAGCUUGUUGGUGGGGUAGUGGCUUACCAAGGCUUUGACGGGUAGCCGGCCUGAGAGGGUGACCGGCCACAUUGGGACUGAGAUACGGCCCAGACUCCUACGUGAGGCAGCAGUGGGGAAUAUUGCACAAUGGGCGGAAGCCUGAUGCAGCAACGCCGCGUGCGGGAUGACGGCCUUCGGGUUGUAAACCGCUUUCGCCUGUGACGAAGCGUGAGUGACGGUAAUGGGUAAAGAAGCACCGGCUAACUACGUG
rnacentral:rRNA from 1 species